GAUGAACGCUGGCGGCGUGCCUAAUACAUGCAAGUCGAGCGAACGGACGAGAAGCUUGCUUCUCUGAUGUUAGCGGCGGACGGGUGAGUAACACGUGGAUAACCUACCUAUAAGACUGGGAUAACUUCGGGAAACCGGAGCUAAUACCGGAUGAUAUUUUGAACCGCAUGGUUCAAAAGUGAAAGACGGCCUUGCUGUCACUUAUAGAUGGAUCCGCGCUGCAUUAGCUAGUUGGUAAGGUAACGGCUUACCAAGGCAACGAUGCAUAGCCGACCUGAGGGGGUGAUCGGCCACACUGGAACUGAGACACGGUCCAGACUCCUACGGGAGGCAGCAGUAGGGAAUCUUCCGCAAUGGGCGAAAGCCUGACGGAGCAACGCCGCGUGAGUGAUGAAGGUCUUCGGAUCGUAAAACUCUGUUAUUAGGGAAGAACAUAUGUGUAAGUAACUGUGCACAUCUUGACGGUACCUAAUCAGAAAGCCACGGCUAACUACGUG
rnacentral:rRNA from 1 species